rnacentral:lncRNA from 1 species
UGUCAGUGGAGGCAGCGGCGGUAGAGGCGGUGGCGACGACUUGCGGCGGCGGCGAGGAGACAGAGAAACUGAUGCACGGAGCCCUAAGACGCGUCGCGCCAGGUCCCUGAGGGUUCGAACCCUAGUGUGUCAAGAAUCGGGAGCCCGAGUUUUCUCCAACGUAGUGGAAGUUGCUCAGCUCUGAAGAAAGCCGCGGCGUACAGUAGCUGACUUCUGAGAGCCGACGGACGCUGAGGGUAAGUCCUGUGCCUGAGUCCAGGUUGGGGGAUGUGUGUGGGUCUCCUUCAGGAGCAGCUGUAGGUGUUAGCAAUGCUCAUAGGUCAGUUCUCAAGCUCAAUGAAUAAAACAGGCCGAGCUCUGAAGCAGUCUUUGUCGGUUCCCAGUCUCUCUUGGUUUUCUUGGUUUUCACAGGAAAGUGACAUCUGGCCCCCUGCUGGCCCCAGUUGGCAGCUGGGCAGCCCCAGCAGGAGGCCUUACUUCUGGAAAGGUGUGAUGUGGGACGCUGGUCAGGGGAAGGGUGGUGAGGCUCCUCAGGACCACGGGGACCGGGCGGCCUCUGAGAAGACGCUUUGAGUCCACGCGGAGAGCAGGCACUGGGCAGUGAGGGACUUGGGAAGCGUGCCGCUGGGCGCGGGAGGUGGCUCUGUCAGCUGGCUGUAAAAACCCUUGACACGUGUUUCCAGAGAAUGACACUCAGCCUUUGGGAGUCACAGGGACAAAGGCAUGAAGGUGGAAUUGUCCCUUCUUCCUCCCACACGUGCUCCGGCAGUCCUGCCCUGUAUAACCUACUGCUUUUAAGGUUUCCCCUCACACAGUUUCCUCUGAUUGCAUUGAUGUGGCUGCAUCUCCUGAGCCUCAAUUCUAAAGCCCUCUGCGCCGGGAUCCACCUGCUGGUCCAGUCCUGUUUCCGGCUGCUGGCCCGCGUGAGCGUGACAGCCAGGCAUGAUCCUCUCUCUCCAGCUAGCGUUCCACCUGCAUUUCAGAGGCUGUUAAUGCUCUUCCUUUCAUCCAAAGGCAGGCCAGCUGCUAGCGCCGUUUCACAGCCAGGUGCCCUGGGGCCUCUGUGGCUCAGGGACGCCUUAACCCCAGAGCUCAUGUUCAGUGCUCAGAGUGGGAUCCCUCUGUUCAGGGAUUUGUCUUGGAUUUCCAUCCAACGUGUAGGAAUUUUUCUCAGGUGACCCUUGAUGACCCAGGAGUUAUUGUCUUUUCUGAGAUUUUUCUCCUCUUGUCUCUUGGCCCGGGUCUUGGGCCGGCAGUGGCCAUUUACCACGCUGCGAUUAAGUUUGCUUGGAAAAGCUGGCAGAGUGAAGGCAGAUGGGUCUGGGGUGGAAAUGGCUUGGACCUUUCCUGUGCUCCACCCUCCACAAAGUUUCCACCGCGCUGCUCUCUGCUUACCC